rnacentral:rRNA from 1 species
GACUGUGCAAAGGUAGCAUAAUAAGUUGGCUUAUAAUUGAGGUCUAGGAUGAAUGAACCUACGGGGUUCUACUGUCUUUAUGGUAAUAAGAUGAACUUAGUAAUCAAGUGCAAAUACUUGAUAAUAUUAAAUAGACGAGAAGACCCUAGAAACUUUUAAGUAUGUUUUGCUGGGGCGGCAGAGUUGCACUUAACCAACUUAUUUAACAUGCAGUAUGGCUGUAAGAUCAAGUUACUCUAGGGAUAACAGCAUAAUUAA